UGUAACUCUGUGAUGUUUUCAUAGUUCAACUGAACAAAUUUGAUGCACUCAAAAUUCUUUCGCUCCUAUCUGAUUGUUUUA